rnacentral:rRNA from 1 species
UACGUAGGGGGCUAGCGUUGUCCGGAAUUAUUGGGCGUAAAGAGCGUGUAGGCGGCUUUACAGGUCCGUUGUGAAAACUCGAGGCUCAACCUCGAGCCUGCAUUCGAUACUGGGCGGCUAGAGUCUGGUAGGGGGAUCUGGAAUUCCUGGUGUAGCGGUGGAAUGCGCAGAUAUCGGGAGGAACACCGGUGGCGAAGGCGGUUCUCUGGGCCUUACCUGACGCUGAGGAGCGAAAGCGUGGGGAGCGAACAGG